AUUAUUUUGACAGAUUAAAUGUUAUAAAUUUAGAAUUUAUAAAUGUAAUUUUUUAUUACAAAUAAUA
rnacentral:tRNA from 1 species